UACAGAGGUCUCAAGCGUGUUCGGAUUCAUUGGGCGUAAAGGGCGCGUAGGCGGCGGGGUAAGUCUGGUGUGAAAUCUUGGAGCUCAACUCCGAAAUUGCACUGGAUACUGCUCUGCUUGAGGGUUGGAGAGGAGAGUCGGAAUUCACGGUGUAGCAGUGAAAUGCGUAGAUAUCGUGAGGAAGACCAGUGGCGAAGGCGGGAUCUCUGGACAAAUCCUGACGCUGAGGCGCGAAGGCUGGGGGAGCAAACGGG
rnacentral:rRNA from 1 species